CCUACGGGUGGCAGCAGUGGGGAAUAUUGGACAAUGGGGGGAACCCUGAUCCAGCGACGCCGCGUGAGUGAAGAAGUAUUUCGGUAUGUAAAGCUCUAUCAGCAGGGAAGAAAGAAAUGACGGUACCUGACUAAGAAGCCCCGGCUAACUACGUGCCAGCAGCCGCGGUAAUACGUAGGGGGCAAGCGUUAUCCGGAUUUACUGGGUGUAAAGGGAGCGUAGACGGUUACGCAAGUCUGGCGUGAAAGGCGGGGGCCCAACCCCCGGACUGCUUCGGAAACUGUAUAACUGGAGUGUAGGAGAGGUAAGUGGAAUGGCUGGUGUAGCGGUGAAAUGCGUAGAGAUGAGGAGGAACACCAGUGGCGAAGGCGGCUUACUGGACUGUAACUGACGUUGAGGCUCGAAAGCGUGGGGAGCAAACAGGAUUAGAUACCCCAGUAGUC
rnacentral:rRNA from 1 species